CCUACGGGUGGCAGCAGUGGGGAAUAUUGGACAAUGGGCGAAAGCCUGAUCCAGCCAUGCCGCGGGUGUGAAGAAGGCCUUCGGGGUGUAAAGCACUUUCAGUGGGGAAGAAAGCCUUGGGGCUAAUACCCUCGAGGAAGGACAUCACCCACAGAAGAAGCACCGGCUAACUCCGUGCCAGCAGCCGCGGUAAUACGGAGGGUGCGAGCGUUAAUCGGAAUUACUGGGCGUAAAGCGCGCGUAGGCGGUCUGAUAAGCCGGUUGUGAAAGCCCCGGGCUCAACCUGGGAACGGCAUUCGGAACUGUCAGGCUAGAGUGCAGUAGAGGAAGGUAGAAUUCCCGGUGUAGCGGUGAAAUGCGUAGAGAUCGGGAGGAAUACCAGUGGCGAAGGCGGCCUUCUGGACUGACACUGACGCUGAGGUGCGAAAGCGUGGGUAGCAAACAGGAUUAGAUACCCUAGUAGUC
rnacentral:rRNA from 1 species